AUUGAACGCUGGCGGCAGGCCUAACACAUGCAAGUCGAGCGGUAGCACAGAGAGCUUGCUCUCGGGUGACGAGCGGCGGACGGGUGAGUAAUGUCUGGGAAACUGCCUGAUGGAGGGGGAUAACUACUGGAAAAGGUAGCUAAUACCGCAUAACGUCGCAAGACCAAAGUGGGGGACCUUCGGGCCUCAUGCCAUCAGAUGUGCCCAGAUGGGAUUAGCUAGUAGGUGGGGUAACGGCUCACCUAGGCGACGAGCCCUAGCUGGUCUGAGAGGAUGACCAGCCACACUGGAACUGAGACACGGUCCAGACUCCUACGGGAGGCAGCAGUGGGGAAUAUUGCACAAUGGGCGCAAGCCUGAUGCAGCCAUGCCGCGUGUGUGAAGAAGGCCUUCGGGUUGUAAAGCACUUUCAGCGGGGAGGAAGGCGGUGAGGUUAAUAACCUCAUCGAUUGACGUUACCCGCAGAAGAAGCACCGGCUAACUCCGUGCCAGCAGCCGCAGUAA
rnacentral:rRNA from 1 species